UCUACUUUUGGUCUUCGGCACAGAGGAGAUCACGAUCGGCUUGGAUUCAUCGGUCUUCGGAACAUUGAGGGGGGCAGGUGAAGCAGAACUGGAGGGGGCAGCGGUUGAGGAGGAGGGAGCAGUAACAUGACCGCUGCGUUGGUAAUUGCGGGCCAGAGCUCGGGCUAAAGCUUGGUGUUUCUCCAUGCCACCAAAGAAAUCUGCAAGGAAAGCGCAAAUUUAGCAAGUUAAUAAUGACCGGUCAAUAAUUCCAAAAUGUAAAGAAACUUACC
rnacentral:lncRNA from 1 species